AUAACGUUCCGUUCCACGUUG
rnacentral:misc_RNA from 1 species